rnacentral:rRNA from 1 species
UACGUAGGGCGCAAGCGUUGUCCGGAAUUAUUGGGCGUAAAGAGCUCGUAGGCGGUCUGUCGCGUCCGUUGUGAAAACUCGAGGCUCAACCUCGGGCUUGCAGUGGAUACGGGCAGACUAGAGUGCGGUAGGGGAGACUGGAAUUCCUGGUGUAGCGGUGAAAUGCGCAGAUAUCAGGAGGAACACCGGUGGCGAAGGCGGAUCUCUGGGCCGUAACUGACGCUGAGGAGCGAAAGCAUGGGGAGCGAACAGG